CCUCUUUCUCCUCUCCAGUCAGUUCAGAUGAGAUGUCAGUUAGUUGUUGAUGUUCAGCUCAAGACUCAACAUGAUCAGAACCCUCUUACUCGGUUGGCUCUCAGGUCUAAGUCUCAGUGUUGAGGUUCACCAGACUCCCUCUGCAGUCUUCAGCAGACCUGGAGAGAAUGUUCAACUCUUCUGCCAACAUCAGAAAACAGACUAUAGAGUGAUGUUGUGGUACCAGAAACCACGAGGAGAAACAGCACUGAAACUCAUUGGAAAUCUGUAUCAUAAGAAUCCAACCAUUGAAAGUUCAUAUGAAAAGCAUUUUAAUAUGAGUGGGGAUUUGGGUGGAGGUGGCCCAAAGAAUGCCUCUCUGAACAUGUUCAACUUGAGACGACCCCAACACAGUGCUGUGUAUUUCUGUGCUGCUAGUUAUGCAGUGUUGCAGAUUCCCCUGUCUACACUACAAAAACCUUCUCUCAUUCACCGCCUCACUAGAUUAUACUGAAGCAACACCUCCCUCACACCUGCACUGAGG